UACAGAGGGUGCAAGCGUUUAAUCGGAAUUACUGGGCGUAAAGCGCGCGUAGGCGGCUUUGUAAGUUAGAGGUGAAAGCCCGGAGCUCAACUCCGGAACUGCCCUUUAAGACUGCAUCGCUAGAACGUUGGAGAGGUGAGUGGAAUUCCGAGUGUAGAGGUGAAAUUCGUAGAUAUUCGGAAGAACACCAGUGGCGAAGGCGACUCACUGGACAACUGUUGACGCUGAGGUGCGAAAGCGUGGGGAGCAAACAGGG
rnacentral:rRNA from 1 species